GACGAACGCUGGCGGCGUGCUUAACACAUGCAAGUCGAACGAGAGCGUAGAGAAAGCUUGCUUUUUCUACAAUCUAGUGGCAAACGGGUGAGUAACGCGUAAACAACCUGCCCUACGGAUGGGGACAACAGCUGGAAACGGCUGUUAAUACCGAAUACGUUCCGAAAGUCGCAUGACUAUCGGAAGAAAGGAUGGCCUCUAUUUAUAAGCUAUCGCCGGAGGAGGGGUUUGCGUCUGAUUAGCUAGUUGGAGGGGUAACGGCCCACCAAGGCGACGAUCAGUAGCCGGUCUGAGAGGAUGAACGGCCACAUUGGAACUGAGACACGGUCCAGACUCCUACGGGAGGCAGCAGUGGGGAAUCUUCCGCAAUGGGCGAAAGCCUGACGGAGCAACGCCGCGGGAGGGAAGACGGCCUUCGGGUUGGAAAGCUCUGUUAUACGGGACGAAUAAUCUUGUGGUUAAUACCCAUGAGAAGUGACGGUACCGUAAGAGAAAGCCACGGCUAACUACGUG
rnacentral:rRNA from 1 species